UCCCCGCGCUGUCUCGGCGGCCCAGGAAUUCACUGUCUGUAGCAUCUGCUCCUCCACAGAGGGACCCUGGAAUGGCGAUGGCACUCCCGAUGCCUGGACCUCAGGCUUUCUUGUUGCCAAACCAGCACUGAUCUCCCUAUUGGAGCAAGGAGAGGAGCCGGGGGCCUUGAUUCUGCAGGUGGCUGAACAGAGCGUGGCCAAAGCCAGCCUGUGCACAGAGGACCCUAAUACACUGCCCAGCAGAAGCCAGGAAGGAAGCCCUGCCAGCUCAGAAGGUGGGCCAGGAGAGAAGGGUGUGGCCGGAAGGGUAGCCGGUGGGGGUGCUGCAUCCUCUUGGCCCCACGGGGAGCACCCUGUCACCCCUAACAGAUGAAGAGAAGACGUCAGCACCCAAGGUGGAAGCAGGUCAUGGCAUGCCCGGCCCAGCUGCAGUCCGAGUGCAGAUCCCAUGGCGAGCGUGGGAUCCAGCCCAAAGCACAAGCCACGCACAGCCCGCCAGGUUGAGUGGGCAGGUACCUCCAACAGCCAGCCCAGGUUGAGUGGGCAGGUACCUCCAACAGCCUGGAGCCGUGAGGCCUUGCGCAGGGGCGUUGCCGGCCGUGGAGGUCUCUGGCUGGCAAAGUGGCACCGAAAGAGUCC
rnacentral:lncRNA from 10 species